GCAGGGGUAGCAAAGCCCGGUCAAAUGCGGAGGACUCAAGAUCCUUUCCCUUAGGGGUUCGAGGGUUCGAAUCCCUCCCCCUGCA
rnacentral:tRNA from 1 species